GGCAUGGUGGUUAGUGGUUAGCACGCUUGCCUCCCACCUCCAGGGCUGAGGGUUCGAUUCCCGCCUCUGCUG